GUUAACUUCUGUGAAGAAUCUAAUGUUUGUGAUCGUGGUUGUUGUGGGAGGCAGAUGGUUGCAGGUUUUUGCAAAGGACCUGCAGAACACACCAAUACUAUAUGGUGUAGGUGUAAAGUGAAGUUUGGAGAAAUUUUCCUGCAGAAGAGGUCAUGUGGUAUCUGUGGCCCCAUCCUGUGCUGACUAGCUGAAGUGCAUGCCAGGCUAGCACCUCAGGACAAAUGGCAGAAUCAGUGGAAUGUGUGUGACUGUCACUGUGUUGUUGAAAGAUUACCUCUCAGAAAAUACACAAAGUGAAGAACAACUAG